rnacentral:rRNA from 1 species
ACCAUGACUCUCGACAAUGGAUAUCUCAGCUCUCAUUUCGAUGAAGAAAGUAGCGAAAUGCGAUACUUUGUGUGAAUUGAAAAAUCCCGUGAAUCAUCGAAUCUUUGAACGCAAGUUGUGCUUAAGGCCCUAGGUCGAGGGCAUGUUUGGCUAGGUGCGGGAUG